rnacentral:rRNA from 1 species
UACAGGGGGUGCAAACGUUGCUCGGAAUCAUUGGGCGUAAAGCGCACGUAGGCGGUCUGUUAUGUCGGAUGUGAAAGCCCUAGGCUUAACUGAGGAAGUGCAUCCGAAACUGGCAGGCUAGAGUACUAAAGAGGGUCGCGGAAUUCCCGGUGUAGAGGUGAAAUUCGUAGAUAUCGGGAGGAACACCGGUGGCGAAGGCGGCGACCUGGGUAGAUACUGACGCUGAGGUGCGAAAGCGUGGGGAGCAAACAGG